ensembl:lncRNA
AUCUUGUUUGGGAUCUCUGUGUACCUGAGGCCUUCCAAAGAAGGGUCAAAUGUGUCUGACAAGCAACUUUAUUGUGUACUACUGAUGUACAGACAACCAUCUGCAACCACCUAUAAAAGCUACAAAAACUACAGAGGCUUGCAAUAUGCAUUAAAGAAUUUAUCAACCACAAGUGUUAACCCUCUAUAAACCAUUUCAAAUGGAUUCUUAAUGUGAAUUGUGACUAAAUGAAGUUCCAGAUUCUCGUUUUAAGCUAUUGGCUAUGGACUUUCUUAAUGUCAACGUUAAAAUUCUGGCAUGCGGUGCUCGCUGUUUAACAGAGGAAAGUAUCCAACUCCUCUUUCCUGCCUCUGUGUGGUCUGUCAGAUCGUUAUCUGGAGAAACGUGCAUAGCAACUUGCUUCUCAGCCACUCUAUGGACAACCCCUUGGGACGGAUUAGAUAUAUCCAAACCAGAGAGACUCUCCUGCAUUGCUUUUCCCCUCCCAUGUGACAGCUCUACUUUCUAAAUACAUGAAACUGUUCGAAGCAGGCUAGCUGGGGAGGCUGCUUUGAUGUCCUGCCAUCACACUGAGCUGUGGAAAGCCUUCUUGUUGUCUUAUGUAGGGAGCAGUUGAGGAUAUCAAAGGAAGAUGAGAUGUUAAAUUUUUAUUGAUGAAUGUUUAAUAGUCUGGGUUGUAAGCUGUCAUGAGUAAUGCAGCAAAAGGAUUCAUUCUGAAUCUUGCUGUUUGCCAUACAGUGCCUGAAAGUGAUUAGUCUUUAAAGAGUACAAAUCUUUAUUUUUUUUUUCCAGCAAUUUAUUUUCUGCAGCAGAUUAAAAGAAAUCUAUCAUAAUACUUAGAGAGAGUCAAGUGGGUGCAUUAGGUUAAUACACCAGUCUUACUCAGCUUGAGACCUGAGUUUGAAUCGGGUUUACAGCAAAAAAGCAAUGAAUUUAGCACCAUUUUCUGAAAGCCCACUAAUGUGACAAGUUUGGCCACAUCUCACUGGGUACAGGGUCACACAUCUCAGGAGGUGCAACUUUAUACCUCGUAAAACAUGAAGUAUGUUAAUUGAGUAGUGUGCAGAACCUCUGGGCACAGUUCCAAGGACACAGCCAGAAGAUUGCUGAGGAGUGAUCUGUUGCCCUCCUCUCCCUGUGUCGUCAGGACAAAACCCACAAGCUCCAUACUACCUCCCAGAACACCAGAAUUUUAAAAUAAAAAUAAAUGUAAGCAUUUUAAGACCACUAUUCUCUCCUCUCCGAGCUCCCUAUUGAAAAACAUUGAAAAAAAUAUGCUUAAUAUGAUACCUAACACACACUUGGAAAAUAAGCCUAAUAUGGGAAAUUCUAAAGAACAGUGUGGGAUGAAUAUCAUGAAACUAAAUCUUGUAACUAAAUCCUUCUAAAGACACAGAGUGAUCCAUGCACAUUCCUGGGACAGCAGAGUACAUGAGGAUCAAGAGAAUGAGGGCGAAGGGAGGAGGUGAAAUCCUUGCUGGAGAUUGUGUGUCUGCUACAUGUUUCUUUACCCUGUCAAGUAAUUAUGCACACAUAGCAUAUGCCUGAUAGGUCUGGGUGAUGCUUGAUAAUGCUUCAGGAGACAAAAAGGUUUCGCAUAGUAAACGUGAGUCAUGAGCAAACUUUAGUUCAAUGUGAGGUCCAGCAGUUCACAGCUAUCAUUUAAGACACUCAGUUUACAAAGUUUUAGU